rnacentral:SRP_RNA from 1 species
GCCGGGUGUGGUGGCGCAUGCCUGUAGUCCCAGCUACUUGGGAGGCUGAGGCUGGAGGAUCUCUUGAGUCCAGGAGUUCUGGGCUGUAGUGCGCUAUGCCGAUCAGGUGUCCGCACUAAGUUUGGCAUCAAUAUGGUGACCUCCCGGGAGCUGGGGACCACCAGGUUGCCUAAGAAGGGGUGACCCGGCCCAGGUCAGAAACGGAGCAGGUCAAAACCCCCGUGCUGAUCAGUGGUGGGAUCGCGCCUGUGAAAAGCCACUGCACUCCAGCCUGGGCAACACAGCAAGACCCUGUCUCU